rnacentral:rRNA from 1 species
GGGAAUUUUGGGCAAUGGGCGAAAGCCUGACCCAGCAACGCCGCGUGAAGGAUGAAAUCCCUCGAGAUGUAAACUUCGCAAGAACGGGAAGAAUAAGUUUGUGCUAAUACCACAAGCGAUGCCGGUACUGUUUGUAAGCUCCGGCUAACUCCGUGCCAGCAGCCGCGGUAAUACGGGGGGAGCAAGCGUUGUUCGGAUUUACUGGGCGUAAAGGGCGCGUAGGCGGCCUCCGCAAGUCAGUUGUGAAAUCUCCGAGCUUAACUCGGAAAGGUCAACUGAUACUGCGGGGCUAGAGUGCGGAAGGGGCAACUGGAAUUCUUGGUGUAGCGGUGAAAUGCGUAGAUAUCAAGAGGAACACCUGCGGCGAAGGCGGGUUGCUGGGCCGACACUGACGCUGAGGCGCGAAAGCCAGGGGAGCGAACGGGAUUAGAUACCCCGGUAGUCCUAGCCUUAAACGAUGAAUGCUUGGUGUCUGGGGUUAUAUAGUCCCCGGGUGCCGUCGCUAACGCUUUAAGCAUUCCGCCUGGGGAGUACGGUCGCAAGACUGAAACUCAAAGGAAUUGACGGGGACCCGCACAAGCGGUGGAGCAUGUGGUUUAAUUCGACGCAACGCGAAGAACCUUACCUGGGCUAGAAUGCCUCUGACAACUCCAGAGAUGGAGCCUCCUAGGGAAACCUAGGCAGAGUGCAAGGUGCUGCAUGGCUGUCGUCAGCUCGUGUCGUGAGAUGUUGGGUUAAGUCCCUCAACGAGCGCAACCCUUAUCAAUAGUUGCCAGCGGUUCGGCCGGGCACUCUAUUGAGACUGCCGUUGACAAAACGGAGGAAGGUGGGGAUGACGUCAAGUCCUCAUGGCCUUUAUGUCCAGGGCUACACACGUGCUACAAUGGCCGGUACAAAGCGCUGCAAACCUGCAAGGGGGAGCCAAUCGCAAAAAGCCGGUCUCAGUUCGGAUUGGAGUCUGCAACUCGACUCCAUGAAGUUGGAAUCGCUAGUAA